CAAAGAGACGAAACCCUCAC
rnacentral:snRNA from 1 species